rnacentral:rRNA from 1 species
CGCGUGCGGGAUGACGGCCUUCGGGUUGUAAACCGCUUUCGCCUGUGACGAAGAGUGAGUGACGGUAAUGGGUAAAGAAGCACCGGCUAACUACGUGCCAGCAGCCGCGGUGAUACGUAGGGUGCGAGCGUUGUCCGGAUUUAUUGGGCGUAAAGGGCUCGUAGGUGGUUGAUCGCGUCGGAAGUGUAAUCUUGGGGCUUAACCCUGAGCGUGCUUUCGAUACGGGUUGACUUGAGGAAGGUAGGGGAGAAUGGAAUUCCUGGUGGAGCGGUGGAAUGCGCAGAUAUCAGGAGGAACACCAGUGGCGAAGGCGGUUCUCUGGGCCUUUCCUGACGCUGAGGAGCGAAAGCGUGGGGAGCGAACAGGCUUAGAUACCCUGGUAGUCCACGCUGUAAACGGUGGGUACUAGGUGUGGGGUCCAUUCCACGGGUUCCGCGCCGUAGCUAACGCUUUAAGUACCCCGCCUGGGGAGUACGGCCGCAAGGCUAAAACUCAAAUGAAUUGACGG